rnacentral:rRNA from 1 species
GACAGAGGGUGCAAACGUUGUUCGGAAUUACUGGGCGUAAAGCGUGUGUAGGCGGCCACGUAAGUCGGAUGUGAAAGCCCCAGGCUCAACCUGGGAAGUGCACUCGAUACUGCGUGGCUUGAGUAUCGGAGAGGUUGGUGGAAUUCUCGGUGUAGAGGUGAAAUUCGUAGAUAUCGAGAGGAACACCGGUGGCGAAGGCGGCCAACUGGACGAAUACUGACGCUGAGACACGAAAGCUAGGGGAGCAAACAGG